UUAAAUUGAAGAGUUUGAUCAUGGCUCAGAUUGAACGCUGGCGGCAGGCCUAACACAUGCAAGUCGAACGGUAACAGGAAGCAGCUUGCUGCUUCGCUGACGAGUGGCGGACGGGUGAGUAAUGUCUGGGAAACUGCCUGAUGGAGGGGGAUAACUACUGGAAACGGUGGCUAAUACCGCAUAACGUCGCAAGACCAAAGAGGGGGACCUUCGGGCCUCUUGCCAUCAGAUGUGCCCAGAUGGGAUUAGCUUGUUGGUGAGGUAACGGCUCACCAAGGCGACGAUCCCUAGCUGGUCUGAGAGGAUGACCAGCCACACUGGAACUGAGACACGGUCCAGACUCCUACGGGAGGCAGCAGUGGGGAAUAUUGCACAAUGGGCGCAAGCCUGAUGCAGCCAUGCCGCGUGUAUGAAGAAGGCCUUCGGGUUGUAAAGUACUUUCAGCGGGGAGGAAGGUGUUGUGGUUAAUAACCGCAGCAAUUGACGUUACCCGCAGAAGAAGCACCGGCUAACUCCGUGCCAGCAGCCGCGGUAAUACGGAGGGUGCAAGCGUUAAUCGGAAUUACUGGGCGUAAAGCGCACGCAGGCGGUCUGUCAAGUCGGAU
rnacentral:rRNA from 1 species